rnacentral:rRNA from 1 species
AUGGACAUGUGGCACAUCAGCCUGAGUGUGUGCGCGAUGCUCGUCACCCUCCCGGUCCUGCUCAUCCUUCGCGGGAGCCGGGCUGGCUGCCGCAUCCCGCCGGGCCCGCCGUCCGUGCCGGUGCUCGGCAGCUUGGUAUGGCUGACGAACUCGCCCGCCGACCCCGAGCCCCUCCUCCAGCGCCUGUUCAGGCGGUACGGCUCCGUGGUUUCCCUGCGGUUGGGAUCCAGUCUCUCAAUCUACAUUGCCGACCGCCGGCUCGCGCACGCGGCGCUCGUCGUGCACGGAGCCUACCUGGCGGACCGCCCCAGCGUGCUCGUCGCGGCCGCGACGCUCCUGGGCGAGAACAACCACACCAUCACGCGCGCCAGCUACGGGCCCGUGUGCCGCCUCCUGCGCCGGAACCUCGUCGCCGAGACGCUGCACCCGUCGCGCGUCCGCCUCUUCGCACCCGCGCGCUGCUGGGCGCGCCGCGUGCUCACCGAGAAACUGCUGGCCGGCGGAGAAGCGGUCAUCGAGACGUUCCGGCACGCUAUGUUCUGCCUCCUCCUGGCCAUGUGCUUCGGCGAGCGGCUCGACGAGGGCGCGGUGCGCGCAAUCGCGGCCGCGCAGCGGGAGCAGCUGCUCUACUUCUCGCACCAGAUGGCCGUGUUCGCCUUCCUCCCGUCAGUAACCAAGCACGUCUUCCGCGGCCGCCUCCGGGCGGCGCACGCGCUGCGGCGCCGGCAGAUGGAGCUGUUCAUGCCACUCAUCAACGCGCGGCGGGAGUACAUGAAGUUGAACAACUCGGACCGGGCCAAGAAGAAAUCAGACACCACGUUCGAGCAUUCGUACGUGGACACGCUUCUCGACCUCAAGCUCCCGGAGGAGGAGCGGCCGCUUAGCGACCAAGAGAUGAUCAAUCUCUGCUCCGAGUUCCUCAACGCCGGGACCGACACCACCUCCACCGCGAUGCAGUGGAUCAUGGCCGAGCUGGUCAAGAACCCGGCCAUUCAGGACAAGCUCUACGGCGAGAUCAUCAAGGUCGCCGCAAUCACGGGCGACAACAGCCAGGAGGAGGUCCCCGAGGAGGACCUCCACAAGAUCCCGUACCUCAAGGCGGUUGUCCUCGAAGGCCUCCGGAAGCACCCCCCGGGGCACUUCGUGCUGCCACACAAGGCGGCAGAGGACAUCGAGCUGUGCGGCGCGUACCUGAUCCCCAAGGGCGCCACGGUGAACUUCAUGGUGGCCGAGAUGGGCAGGGACGCGGAGGAGUGGGAGAACCCGAUGGAGUUCGCGCCGGAGAGAUUCGUGGCUGGCGGGGAUAGGGAAUGGGUGGACGUGACGGGCAACAGGGAGAUCAGGAUGAUGCCCUUCGGGGCAGGCCGGAGGAUCUGCGCGGGGCUUGGCGUCGCCAUGCUCCACCUCGAGUACUUCGUGGCCAACAUGGUGAGGGAGUUCGAGUGGAAAGAGGUCGCGGGCGACGAGGUGGACUUUGCCGAGAAGCGGGAGUUCACCUGCGUCAUGCAGAAGCCGUUGCGCCCUCGCCUCGUGCCACGAAUUAAGGACGAGUAA